rfam:Triticum aestivum genome assembly, contig: Triticum_aestivum_CS42_TGACv1_scaffold_570480_7AS
GAUAUACUCACUCUGUUCCGAAUUACUUGUCUUGAAUUUGUCUAGAUAUAGAUAUAUCUAGACUUGUUUUAGUGCUAGAUACCUCCGUAUCUAGACAAAUAUAAGACAAGUAAUUCGGAACGAAAGGAGUACAUG